rnacentral:rRNA from 1 species
GACGAACGCUGGCGGCGUGCUUAACACAUGCAAGUCGAACGGUAAGGCUCCAGCUUGCUGGGGUACACGAGUGGCGAACGGGUGAGUAACACGUGGGUGACCUGCCCUGCACUUCGGGAUAAGCCUGGGAAACUGGGUCUAAUACCGGAUAGGACCGCACCGUGAGGGUGUGGUGGAGAGUUUUUUCGGUGUGGGAUGGGCCCGCGGCCUAUCAGCUUGUUGGUGGGGUAAUGGCCUACCAAGGCGGCGACGGGUAGCCGGCCUGAGAGGGUGGACGGCCACAUUGGGACUGAGACACGGCCCAGACUCCUACGGGAGGCAGCAGUGGGGAAUAUUGCACAAUGGGCGGAAGCCUGAUGCAGCGACGCCGCGUGGGGGAUGACGGCCUUCGGGUUGUAAACUCCUUUCACCAUCGACGAAGGGUUUCUGACGGUAGAUGGAGAAGAAGCACCGGCUAACUACGUGCCAGCAGCCGCGGUAAUACGUAGGGUGCGAGCGUUGUCCGGAAUUACUGGGCGUAAAGAGCUCGUAGGUGGUUUGUCGCGUCGUCUGUGAAAUUCCGGGGCUUAACUCCGGGCGUGCAGGCGAUACGGGCAUAACUUGAGUACUGUAGGGGAGACUGGAAUUCCUGGUGUAGCGGUGAAAUGCGCAGAUAUCAGGAGGAACACCGGUGGCGAAGGCGGGUCUCUGGGCAGUAACUGACGCUGAGGAGCGAAAGCAUGGGGAGCGAACAGGAUUAGAUACCCUGGUAGUCCAUGCCGUAAACGGUGGGCGCUAGGUGUGGGUUUCCUUCCACGGGAUCCGUGCCGUAGCUAACGCAUUAAGCGCCCCGCCUGGGGAGUACGGCCGCAAGGCUAAAACUCAAAGGAAUUGACGGGGGCCCGCACAAGCGGCGGAGCAUGUGGAUUAAUUCGAUGCAACGCGAAGAACCUUACCUGGGCUUGACAUAUACAGGAUCGCGCCAGAGAUGGUGUUUCCCUUGUGGCUUGUAUACAGGUGGUGCAUGGUUGUCGUCAGCUCGUGUCGUGAGAUGUUGGGUUAAGUCCCGCAACGAGCGCAACCCUUGUCUUAUGUUGCCAGCACGUUGUGGUGGGGACUCGUAAGAAACUGCCGGGGUUAACUCGGAGGAAGGUGGGGAUGACGUCAAAUCAUCAUGCCCCUUAUGUCCAGGGCUUCACACAUGCUACAAUGGUCGGUACAGUGGGUUGCCAGUCCGUGAGGGCGAGCUAAUCCCGCAAAGCCGGUCUCAGUUCGGAUCGGGGUCUGCAACUCGACCCCGUGAAGUCGGAGUCGCUAGUAAUCGCAGAUCAGCAACGCUGCGGUGAAUACGUUCCCGGGCCC